rfam:Sphaerobolus stellatus SS14 unplaced genomic scaffold SPHSTscaffold_101, whole genome shotgun sequence.
ACUGGGGUGGGGUAGUGGUAACCUGCAUGCUUCCCAAUGCGGAGUUCUGCAGUAUAUUAGCAUGCGCGCCGGGUUCGAUUCCCGGUCCUAGUA